UGAGGAAUAUUGGUCAAUGGGCGUGAGCCUGAACCAGCCAAGUCGCGUGAGGGAAGACGGUCCUAUGGAUUGUAAACCUCUUUUGUCGGGGAGCAAAGGCGCCUACGUGUAGGCGGAUGAGAGUACCCGAAGAAAAAGCAUCGGCUAACUCCGUGCCAGCAGCCGCGGUAAUACGGAGGAUGCGAGCGUUAUCCGGAUUUAUUGGGUUUAAAGGGUGCGUAGGCGGGAUGUUAAGUCAGCGGUAAAAUUGAGGGGCUCAACCCCUUCGAGCCGUUGCAAACUGGCAAUUCUUGAGUGAAUGAGAAGUAUGCGGAAUGCGUGGUGUAGCGGUGAAAUGCAUAGAUAUCACGCAGAACUCCGAUUGCGAAGGCAGCAUACCGGCAUUCAACUGACGCUGAAGCACGAAAGCGUGGGGAUCAAACAGGAUUAGAUACC
rnacentral:rRNA from 1 species